rnacentral:rRNA from 1 species
GACGAACACUGGCGGCGUGCCUAAUACAUGCAAGUUGAGCGAUGAAGAUUGGUGCUUGCACCAAUUUGAAGAGCAGCGAACGGGUGAGUAACGCGUGGGGAAUCUGCCUUUGAGCGGGGGACAACAUUUGGAAACGAAUGCUAAUACCGCAUAAUAACUUUAAACAUAAGUUUUAAGUUUGAAAGAUGCAAUUGCAUCACUCAAAGAUGAUCCCGCGUUGUAUUAGCUAGUUGGUGAGGUAAAGGCUCACCAAGGCGAUGAUACAUAGCCGACCUGAGAGGGGGGUCGGCCACAGUGGGACUGAGACACGGCCCAAACGCCUACGGGAGGCAGCAGUAGGGAAUCUUCGGCAAUGGACGAAAGUCUGACCGAGCAACGCCGCGUGAGUGAAGAAGGUUUUCGGAUCGUAAAACUCUGUUGGUAGAGAAGAACGUUGGUGAGAGUGGAAAGCUCAUCAAGUGACGGUAACUACCCAGAAAGGGACGGCUAACUACGUG